CUCAGGACGAACGCUGGCGGCGUGCCUAAUACAUGCAAGUUGAACGCUUGAUUUUCACCGAAGCUUGCUUCACCGAAAAUCAAGAGUAGCGAACGGGUGAGUAACGCGUGGGUAACCUACCUAUCAGCGGGGGAUAACUAUUGGAAACGAUAGCUAAUACCGCAUAACAAUGUUGGAUGCAUAUUCGACAUUUGAAGGUACCAAAUGGUACACUGAGAGAUGGACCCGCGUUGUAUUAGCUAGUUGGUAGUGUAAUGGACUACCAAGGCGAUGAUACAUAGCCGACCUGAGAGGGUGAUCGGCCACAUUGGGACUGAGACACGGCCCAAACUCCUACGGGAGGCAGCAGUAGGGAAUCUUCGGCAAUGGACGAAAGUCUGACCGAGCAACGCCGCGUGAGUGAAGAAGGUUUUCGGAUCGUAAAACUCUGUUGUUAGAGAAGAACAUUGCAUAGAGUGGAAAAUUAUGCAAGUGACGGUAUCUAACCAGAAAGGGACGGCUAACUACGUGCCAGCAGCCGCGGUAAUACGUAGGUCCCGAGCGUUGUCCGGAUUUAUUGGGCGUAAAGCGAGCGCAGGUGGUUUAAUAAGUCUGAUGUAAAAGGCAGUGGCUCAACCAUUGUGUGCAUUGGAAACUGUUAGACUUGAGUGCAGUAGAGGAGAGUGGAAUUCCAUGUGUAGCGGUGAAAUGCGUAGAUAUAUGGAGGAACACCGGUGGCGAAAGCGGCUCUCUGGACUGUCACUGACACUGAGGCUCGAAAGCGUGGGUAGCAAACAGGAUUAGAUACCCUGGUAGUCCACGCCGUAAACGAUGAGUGCUAGUUGUUUGGGGCUAUCCAGCCCUAAGUGACGCAGCAAACGCAUUAAGCACUCCGCCUGGGGAGUACGACCGCAAGGUUGAAACUCAAAGGAAUUGACGGGGGCCCGCACAAGCGGUGGAGCAUGUGGUUUAAUUCGAAGCAACGCGAAGAACCUUACCAGGUCUUGACAUACUCGUGCUAUUCCUAGAGAUAGGAAGUUCCUUCGGGACACGGGAUACAGGUGG
rnacentral:rRNA from 1 species